GAUGAGGAGGGCAAUCUAUUCCACCGAACGUCUGCCGAACUGACAGAAGAAAAGGGAAGGAACAAGAGAAAAGGAGUUAUACAAUCAGAGUUUUCCAGGGGAGAUCAUCCAUCUUAAACCGACAUCAGCACUGAGAAAAAAAAAAAGGUCAGCCAUGGAGCAGAAGACAAAUGAGAGUCCCACCACCACCUCUCCUCAGAAGCACAUGAAGAACAGGUCCAAAUCCACAGAGGAGAUGCAACAGUCGAAGAAGGCCUUUUCCUCACAAAAAUCACUCCCAGGAAGGCCAGAGCUGGACAGAGUGAAGGAGUGUCCAGAUGGCUCGGACAUGCCCCCGUCCUCCAAUGAAGAACUCAAGUGAUAAAUAAACAAACUGUAGGACAGUAAUGCUGCCAUCAAGCUACAAGAUCAUCAUACAAACAACACGAUACAUGCAUAAAAAUGGACUCACGUACCCAGGGAAAAAUACAAAAGAUUGAGAAUAAUAGUGAAUUACUGUAGAUUAGAAAAUAUGCAAUCAAUGACGU